rnacentral:lncRNA from 1 species
UAACACCUAUUUGUUUUUUGUAAAAUGUUUGUUUAUUUUUGAUUGGGGGGGAGGGGCUGAGAGAGGGGAGAGAAUCCCAAGCAUGCUCCAUGCUGCCAGCACAAAGCCCAGUGCUGGGCUUGAUCCCACAGCCCUGGAGUCAUGACCUGAGCCAAAAUCAACAGUUGGACGCCUAACUGACUGAGCCACCCAGGGGCCUCUAACACCUAUUUCUUGAGAGCCGAUUAAAUAUCAACUACUUUGGUAGGCUCUAAGAAUGUAGAUGUGGCCUCGUUGUCUGAGAUAUUUUAGAGUAGUAGUUGAUGGAUAUAAAAUUACAGUCCAUGCACUAAAACUGUUAUACCUUACUUACUGCAGAGCUCCUUAAAUGAUCAUAUAGAAUCAAUGUACUCUUAUUUUAGAUAAAUUCUAAUAAGCUAUUUGUUACCCCUUCUAGCACAGGUUGGAACUGCAAUGAAGAGGAUAUGCUUAUAGCACUAAGAAGCUAGUUGACCAUCUGGCAGUGGAGGAGGACACAGCAGACCCAGCUGCAAUUCCAUGUGAAUUUUAAGGCACCUAAUAUACUGUCUAAAGAUGCAUACAAACCACAAUCAUGGCGUCACAUAAGGCCAGCUAGCCGAUCUAUACAUUGGAUUUCCUGCUCUGAAGGAGUUUGGGAUCUCUCAUCACUUCUGCAGACAAGGUUUUACCUGAAGAACCCGCCACUCGGAAAUGCCUGUGAGCUUUUAAGCACUGCUAUUGGUAGGUGCCACCUGCAGAGAGUCCAGCCUGGUGCUGUCUUGUUUACAUUUAUUCAUUUAUUGACAGGGGGCAUGUGUGAGCAGGGUAGGAGCAGAGAGAGAGGGGAGAGACAAUCCCAAGCAGGGUCCGCACUGUCAGCGUAGAGCCCCAUGGGAGGCUCACACUCAGAAACCGUGAAAUCGUGACCUGAGCUGAGAUCAAGAGUCAGUCCCUUAACGGAAUGAGCCACUCAGGCACCGCCAGCCAAUUGGUAUGGGGUUGGCUUUGGCAUUAACCUGUCAGGUGCACCAGGUGAUUCUAAUAUGAAUGAUCAUUUUAUUUUUUUAUUUUUUUAACAAUUUUUUUUCAACGUUUAUUUAUUUUUCGGACAGAGAGAGACAGAGCAUGAACGGGGGAGGGGCAGAGAGAGAGGGAGACACAGAAUCGGAAACAGGCUCCAGGCUCUGAGCCAUCAGCCCAGAGCCCGACGCGGGCCUCGAACUCACGGACCGCGAGAUCGUGACCUGGCUGAAGUCGGACGCUUAACCGACUGCGCCACCCAGGCGCCCCAUGAAUGAUCAUUUUAAAAGAACUAAUACUUAAGCACCUACUUACUCACAACAAUUAAGUCAUUAUUUCUGGGUGGAAUUGAAACGUGGGUAAUUUUUUAAAGCUCCUAAAUGAUUUCACUGUGGAACUUAUUUGAACAUCACUGCCCUAACUCAUUAUUUCUGAAGUGGAUGUUGCAACGGAAAAAGGAGCUGUUUUCUUUCUCCCAAGAAGAUGAGUGAGAAUUCUCAUAAGAGGUGAGGGGGUUAGCUUUGGUUAAAAUGGUAACAGUUCUUAAAACUGAAGCAACAGGGAAACACCAUGAGUGUGGUAAUGUCAGUUUGUGUUCACUUCGUGGUUUCUAAACAAGAAUAUGUCAAGUCUGAGUUUGUCCCAUUUUUACUAUUCCUAAUGAAUGUGUUGUUUCUCUUUCCCAUUGUAUGUCAUAAAAUCUAGGGUGUAAAAGGUAAAGAAAUUUUGAGAUGUGUUAGGUAAAUUGUUAGAAUUCACUAUGUGUUAAUUUUUAUCUUUCACAUUUCCCCCUGUGAUUUGUUUUUUUUUUUUCUGGUCAUGGUAUUUUGUUGUGGGAGCUGUUUUAGCCUCCUAGAUCUUGGUUUCUUACCGGAUUGAGUGCCGUGUCCUUUAAUAAUAAGAAUUUGAAAACAAUUAUAUCAAACUCAUGAUGUACGCUUCCUAGACACAAAUGGAGUAGGACUAAAAUUCAUUGUUCAAGGUUAUCUAGAUGUGGUACAGAUGAACUAUCAGGCUAUUUUCUACAGUGCAAUGAAAUGUUUUCAGAUUUCCAUAUGGAAAGCAGCCUCAAAUUUAGGAACUGAUCACUUCCUUCUAGGAAGGUAGUGAGCUUUAAGUUUGUUUCUUCAUAAUGUAUUUAGGGAGAAAUUCAGUUCCUGCCCAAGAUAAUGUAAAAGUCAAAAUAGAGAAGUGAGACUUCAGGUAAACAGUUGCUUACCUUAUAAUCUUCUGGAUAGAUUGAACAUCAUGCAAAAUAGUGGAUUUAAACCAACAGGAUUUUUUUUCCAAGCAACGAUCUCUCAAGAGGUUAGCUAGUUGAUUUUUGCUAAGCAGGCAGUAAAUAACUCUCCCUCAUUCAGUCUCUUGCCCUUCCCAAGACCCUGUAUCUGGAUUUGAGAUUUUAACUUUUUGUCUCUGAAAUAAUUGAAGCAGGGAGAGAUCAAAGGAGUUCUCCCAAAUGAUUUAUGAUGAUGAUGAUGAUGAUGAUGAUGAUGAUGAUGAUGAUUUAUUGACUAAAUGCAGAUCUCAGAGUGACAUUGCCUCAUAACCAGUGGGUGCUGACAAAACAAUAGAGAACUAUUAUAAAAAAGUGAUGGGUCUCCACAGUGAACCAGGAGAUGCUAAGGUCCCUGAUAACUUUGUGCCAUAUUGACACGUGUAUUUCUUCAAUUCUUGCUGACCUCUCCUACUUUGUCUAUUCUAGAACAUCCCUCCUUCUGCUCUCUGGUUCAACUAAGCUGAGUUUCUUGUAAUUGUUGCAAUGAUGUUAAAUCCUUUCUGGCCCCUGAACUUUUGCACAUGUUGCUUCCUUUGCCUACAUCUAUGAUUCUCAAACUGUUUGUUCUCAGGAUCCCUUAAUACACUGAAAAGCUGAGAACCACCAAGAGCUUUUGUUGAUAUAGGUUAUAUUAUUGUAUCUACCACGUUAGAAAUGGAAGCCGAGAACACUUUAAAUUGUUAAUUUUCUCAUACAAUGACAUAAGCCCGUUACAUUAUUACAAACAACAUUUUUAUGGAAAGUAAACUAGAUCUUUUAAAACAAAAAGAAUUAGUGAAAGGAGCAACAUUGGUUUUUUCCCCCAUAUCUCUUUAAUGUCUUGCCUUAAAAGAAGACAGGUGGAUUCUUAUAUGUGCUUCUGCAUUUAGUUUUUUUGCAAUAUAUUGUUUUGCUGGAAGUAUAUGAGCAAAUCCAGCCUCAGACAUAUAUGUAAUUGGAAAAGGAAGAUGUAUUUUAGUAGCCCCUACACCAAAAUUAAGCAGCAGUUUCUUACAGCUUAGUUGUGCUGUAGUUACAAGAUUAGUUUAUAAUAAAAACUAAGAUAUUCAAUCA